rnacentral:rRNA from 1 species
ACUCCUGCGGGAGGCAGCAGUGGGGAAUAUUGGACAAUGGGCGCAAGCCUGAUCCAGCCAUGCCGCGUGAGUGAUGAAGGCCCUAGGGUUGUAAAGCUCUUUCACCGGUGAAGAUAAUGACGGUAACCGGAGAAGAAGCCCCGGCUAACUUCGUGCCAGCAGCCGCGGUAAUACGAAGGGGGCUAGCGUUGUUCGGAUUUACUGGGCGUAAAGCGCACGUAGGCGGACUAUUAAGUCAGGGGUGAAAUCCCGGGGCUCAACCCCGGAACUGCCUUUGAUACUGGUAGUCUUGAGUUCGAGAGAGGUGAGUGGAAUUCCGAGUGUAGAGGUGAAAUUCGUAGAUAUUCGGAGGAACACCAGUGGCGAAGGCGGCUCACUGGCUCGAUACUGACGCUGAGGUGCGAAAGCGUGGGGAGCAAACAGGAUUAGAUACCCGAGUAGUCCCAUGA